UUGUAGUACCGGGAACAGAUCUUCACUCUGGAGACCCGAUUCUAAGCCUGGCCACUGACCCUGGGUGCCAGCUCUCUUUUUACAAACACCCCAAACAGAUCUCUUUAUUGUCCUCUUCCCUGAAACCUCUAAACCUGGUUGACUUGUCAGAGUGCAUUUCACACAUUCCUGUUCCCGAGCCUGAAGGAUACGCCUAGUUCCCUCGCUGCUAAAGGAACAGAAAAACUGCUGGUACAGUCUGGUGCUGUUCCCCCUUGUUGUUGCGUUACUACAGAGCUCACAGCCGGAGCCGAGACACGGAGGAUCGCAGCAUGAAGUGAACUCAGGUAGAACAUCCCAAGCCUAAAUCCUGAGUGAUUUCCAAGUAUGGAGGAGACCAAGAAUAACCCCGCAAAGCUGAGCAGAACCAAACAGCCGGUGAAAACAGAAUGGGGAGCCCAUUAUAUGGUAUUGACCUACUUCCAAGGAGACAUUAAUAGCAUGGUGGAUGAACAUUUCUCCAGAGCUUUGAGUGUCACCAAAAACCCGCAGGACCUGAGUAGAGACAACGGUGUCAAAGAUGGCCUUAUUAACAAU